rnacentral:lncRNA from 1 species
GUAAAGGUAAUGACCCGUAGUGGAAUCCCCAUUUCUUUAAAAAAAAAACUGGAAACCAUACAUACCACUACGGAUAUGCGUAAAUACCCGUAGUGGAAUCCCCAAUUCUUUAAAAAAAACACAGGAAAACCAUACAUACCACUACGGAUAUGUAUAAAUACCCGUAGUGGAAUCCCCAUGAUUUAUAUUAAAAAAAUUUGAAACCAUACAUACC